AGAUCUCCUUCAACAGCUGGGAUGUGACGGCCCAACACUUAGCCAGUACCUGGUACACUGAAAGGGACUGCAAGCAUCUUGAGAGUGAAGUCUACCAAGCAACACAACACAAAACAAAAAGCUUCCUGGAGAACGGAGUACAUCCUUGUUGCAUGGGCAGAGAAGGAAGAACGUGGAUCUGAGGAACCAUUGGAACCGUCUGCAAGAAGAAAGUACCACCCUGGUACAAGUGCCCUAAGUAAAGGGAAAGAAGCACCCCUGGAAGCGGCCUUACCCCUCCUGAGCCUGCAGAUGGCGUAAGAG